CAAGAAUUCUGCACUUGGGACGGGGGGGGGGGGAGAACACUAUGGGACGGGGAGGGGAAAGAACAUUGUAGCGGAUGGCACUGUGGCUGUCCUCCAAAGACUAUGAGAAUCCUGCAAUUCGUGUGUUAAUUAUGUUCUGUAUUCCCAGUAACUAAUAUUCGUAUGUUUGUUCGGUAGUUUCCAUGGGUAUUUCAUACGAAUGGAAACUACCGAACUAAUAGACCUCCCCAGAGUGAAGUGUGUUCCCGAUUAAGUAUCGAAUAUGUGUUAACCGCAGACUAGUAGGUGGUUUAUUGCUGUAUCUGGGUGGCCGCCAUUCGGCACACGAACACGUGGUGUCGGCCAUCUUACGCACAAAAGACUCAGCGGUGUUUGGUCGUCGAGUGUCUGGAACCCACAUCGGACACUCGAUUACCCGAACACCGCUGACACCUCCAGAGCUCCAUAACUCCCUAACGGGAAUUCGAAUCAACCCCCGUUCGGUGAGUUUGGAGUACCAAACGAGGGCAUUCAGGCGAAUGACAGUUUAAUAGUGGAUGGCAGGUAUUUCAAUGUAUUUUACCUCCCGAAAGGAGACCGACCGCAGGGCCAAAACGCAUGGAACCCAUUUCUGAUAUCACCUCGUGUGCAGUCGGUCACAUUUCACCCUCCACCUAACUUCCGAACCCCUGGUCCGAUCUGGGUGAAUUUUGGAUAUGUUAGUCACCAGAUCAGGGCUACCAGGGGGUACUCAAGGUAUGGGUGUACCUGCUAAUCUUGGGGUACAUCCAGAACUUGGGGAAAACUGUAACAUGUAUAAUGGGAUUAGGUGUCAUACUAAGGGGAGGAGAUGUGUGGGAGCUAUUUCAUUGGAUACUGUAAUAAUGAAUGUGAAUCCCUCCCUUGCAUGGGAGAAAUGCUUAAAAGGAGGUUGUGUGGAAUAAACAUUAGUUCUGCUCCUGA